GAAGACCAAACGAUGUAACUCACAAGAAAGUGCCUUGUAAAUCGCCCAGAAAUUGCCAAAUACUUACUAACCAAGGAGGCUGUCCCUACCGCCCACUGGCCAGCCCGAGGCUCACUGUUGUGAGCACACAGUAGGGGCUGGGUAUUUGUGCUCGAUAAAUAAUUUCCAGAGUUAGAAAGAAAAAAAAAGUUCAUUCAACAAACAUUUUCUGAGACGCUGACCAUGUGCCCCAUGCACCAGGCUAUGGCUGAGGUACAAAGAUAAUGACGAACAGUCUCUUUCGGAGGCUAAUUAGGACCCUCGUCUUUACCAGCACUUUCUUUGAUGGCUUUUUAAACCAACCAGUUUUGUCCGGACAAGAGAAAAAAAAAAAAGCCCAACCGGGCUGCUUUAGGGAACCCAGUCUUGGAGUGGACAAUAGUGUCCUGGCCUCUGAAAGGAGCUGAUUGGAUUAGGAGGCAAAUGGAGACAGAAGGAGAAAGUAGGAGCAGACAAAUGCCAUGGGCGGAGACCCUCUCUGAGUUAAUUCAGGCUAAUUGGAGGGACCCUUCCCGUCUCGCAGAGUGGCCAGGGGCUCUCACUACUGCCUGCUCUGUCAGCACUGCUCUGUGCACAUGGAGACUGGAGCUACCCUGGUCCCUCUCUUGCAAUCGUCCAUUCAUUUGAUGCUCACAACUCCCUGUCCUGACCCAGGGCCGGCCUGCCGUCACGCGGGGAAGCAGAGGUCGCCAAGUGGUUUCUCUGAUGGGGCCCCCACAUAUCGUUAGCCUCUUGGCUUCUUCCGUUUUAGUAGCAGUGGACAUGUUCCUGUUUCCAGCCUGCACCUCCACUUCAGUUCCUCUCUGGACUUCUGACUCCGCUGCCCUCACCUGGAGUCCCGCCUCCCCCUGUCUUCCUUCCUUGCCACUCCAGUGUCUGUCUUUCCUUCACAGCCCGGCUUCUCGAGGCCUGUCUACACUCGCUGCUUUCCUUCCUCACCUCCAAUUUCCCCUCCAACCCACUGCUUCCUGACUCGCUCUUCUCCAUCGAACGGCUCUUGCUCAGGUAAAGACUUUUCUGUAGCUUGACCCUUGGCACCAUUCCAGCCUGGCUGGACACAAGGACAAUGCAUUUCCAUUUCUGCUGCUCCAUGGCUUCACGGCUCUGGUUCGCCCUCCUACUCCCACAUCACUGGCUUCACAGACACAACUCUUCUCACUUUCUCUGGGAACCUAGAUUCCCAGUCCUCUCAGUUUCCCAAACCUGCCUCAUGCCACCCAGCCGCCAGGGCUGCCUAGAGCACUCUGCGGUUGGUGGUCUGAGUUCAGGUCCUAGGAAAACCACUUAAAACUGGGAUCACGGUGUAGGCCAGCUCUUCCAAGCUAGCUACCUUGGCUAAAACAGAGUUCACGGUCUUCACCUGGAAGGCCAGGUGAAUUCCAUCAGGUAAGACACAUGACCCCUUAGCUGAGGGACUGGAAGGGGAAACCAAUUAGGUAUUCCUGAGCAAAUGCAUUUUGGGGGGUCACAAUUAAGUUUUCUCAAAGUUAGGUUCCCACAGAGAAGAUCAAAGAGCAGGGGCAGUGGGAGGGGGAGUCUGGGUAGGGGAGUUGGAGGAAGGGCGAGCAUUAGCCCAGGAAAGGAGAUUCAGAAAAUACUAAGAGCUACCCAAACCUCAGCAGAAGCUUUCCUCCUAGGUUAGCCUGGGCUUAGAGGAGAAAAACCAGAAGGAAGCUUUUAAGUUGAUUACCCAGUGACACGUCCCAGGAAGCCUCUAUAUCACAUAGCCCCAUUGAAGGGGUUUGAGUUCCUCUCCCCAGGUUUAACCUCUUGCCCUGAUUACCCUUCCCUAAUGCCUCCCUGGACUGGUGAUUAAAGUCCCCAUGGUACAAGAAAGGUCUCCAGGAAUGACCAGCUCCUGGGAUGGAGCCACUCCUGCCCCCCCCCCCGGCCAGUUUUUUUUUUUUUUUUUUUUUCUUUCCAGUUUUAUUCUACUUUUUUUGGCCUUUCUCCUUAAUGAACAUGGGGCUAAUCUUGGGCCUUGUGGAAGGAAGAGGCCUCAGAGCUAAUGAGGUAGCUGCUGGGCUCCAAUAGUCAUCUCCUAAGGAGCCCUCUUUGUCUGAGAAGGAAAAACAUUGAUUAUCAUAAUGAGAACUGAGCUGGUGGCUGAGGGGUGGGGUGGGGGCUUUUGGGUUCUUUAAGCUACACUUUAAUGUAGAUUUCCUUCCUCAUUGAAGCCUAACCCCUCCACCCCACUCCACCCCCGCCCCUGCCCCGUCCCAGUGCAAGACCCAUUGAAUGGGGUGGCAAGUUGAAGGUAGCUUUGAGUCAAGGAACUACAAGAGGUCCAUAGUGACUACAGUCAUUCCUUGUCACCCAGACUCCUGCCAAGUUCCCCAGUCCCACCCCAGCAAUCAACAAGCAAAGGGGACUCCCUCCUCCCACCCCACGCACACCCCCCUUUCCUCAGUGGGUCUACUAUAGCACCAUGGGUCCAAGUUAUGUCACUACCCUGUGCUGGACUUGAAGGUAGGGUACUAGGAUAGAGCGGAGGCCUAGGAGAGGAGAAGCCACCCACAAGGCUCCCUGUCCACAGUGCACAGUCAGUUGUUGAGAUUUCCACUGUCUGCAGGGUCCCUUGUCUCAAAUACCUGUUAAUAAUAUUUACAUUGAAAUAAUAGGUCCCCGAAGCCACUUUUGAUAUUCUAGGAGUCCGGGAGUAUUUCAAAAGCUAGGGCCAUGCGGAGAGGGCCUUUGUUCAGGAUUUUAGUCUUAGGUCAUCAGGCCUCCAAACUUAGCAGCCUUGAGCAACUCAAACAAGACUCCUAUCCACCCACCCUGGCCCUCCCCCCUCCCCCCACCUUGCUACCAUCUCAGCCCUUGAUGUUCUGGAAGGCAGGAAGCCUGUAAGUAGGACUCCUGGUAACUGCUUCCUGAAGACAGUUUGCUUCUCACCCACUAGCAUGCUUCCUGGGACUCUCAGGUAGAUCAAUGGAUAUAAAAGCCCUCCUCCCCUUUCAGUCCAGGCAUUUAGGCUGGCUUCAGAGUAGUUGGCCCACAGGGCUAGAGUGUUCUGGGUACUCAACAUCUAUGGAAUCAUUCAGGACAUACUGGGAAGUUACGGAGAUGAGGCCAAGGAGGGGGAGGGAGGAGGCAGGAAAAGCACCAGCCCCAAUUCUUCUGAGAACAACUGAUUUUUUUUCUGCCUCUACUGCCCAUUCCCCUCCUUCAUUCUCUGUCUCAGCCUCCCUCUGUUUGUCUCCCCCUACCCCCUUUUCCCAUUUGAAUCUGGUUGGUUCCUUUGGGGUGCCCCUAGGCCACCCCCUCCUCCUCUGGGUGUCCCAGCACCAACCCGGUAAAUAGUGGGGCUCAGUAAGAGUAUGUGGGAUGAUGUAUGGUGGGACAGGCGGACGAAUGGACAGGCUCAACUGCCACAUCUGGGCAGCUAAGGGUCAAGGGGUUGCGGGUGUCUGGCUCAAGGGACUGGGAUCAUUAGUGACCUGCCCUAGUCUCAGCCCCCUUUGAGGGGUUCUAGGGUUGCGCCUUGCAUUCGUCCGCGCGUCUACUCUGUCAUCCACAGUUGAUCCUAACUGAGCGUGCCCAUGGUCCUGGCCCUGGGCUUGGCACCUGCCACCUAGCUUGUCCCUUGAUGGCCUCUGCUUCCUAGGGAGGGCAAGCUGGGGGGUUGUCUGGGAGCCAGAGCAGUGGUCUCUGGCUCCAUAGAGGGCAUUCAGAGGGCAUGGGGUGGGCCUGGUUUGCCUGCCCUGCCUUUGUG
rnacentral:lncRNA from 1 species